CCUUCGGGGUACUCGAGUGGCGAACGGGUGAGUAACACGUGGGUGAUCUGCCCUGCACUUUGGGAUAAGCCUGGGAAACUGGGUCUAAUACCGAAUAUGACUACAUGCUUCCUGGUGUGUGGUGUAAAGCUUUUGCGGUGUGGGAUGGGCCCGCGGCCUAUCAGCUUGUUGGUGGGGUAAUGGCCUACCAAGGCGACGACGGGUAGCCGGCCUGAGAGGGUGACCGGCCACACUGGGACUGAGAUACGGCCCAGACUCCUACGGGAGGCAGCAGUGGGGAAUAUUGCACAAUGGGCGCAAGCCUGAUGCAGCGACGCCGCGUGAGGGAUGACGGCCUUCGGGUUGUAAACCUCUUUCAGCACAGACGAAGCGCAAGUGACGGUAUGUGCAGAAGAAGGACCGGCCAACUACGUGCCAGCAGCCGCGGUAAUACGUAGGGUCCGAGCGUUGUCCGGAAUUACUGGGCGUAAAGAGCUCGUAGGUGGUUUGUCGCGUUGUUCGUGAAAACUCACAGCUUAACUGUGGGCGUGCGGGCGAUACGGGCAGACUUGAGUACUGCAGGGGAGACUGGAAUUCCUGGUGUAGCGGUGGAAUGCGCAGAUAUCAGGAGGAACACCGGUGGCGAAGGCGGGUCUCUGGGCAGUAACUGACGCUGAGGAGCGAAAGCGUGGGGAGCGAACAGGAUUAGAUACCCUGGUAGUCCACGCCGUAAACGGUGGGUACUAGGUGUGGGUUUCCUUCCUUGGGAUCCGUGCCGUAGCUAACGCAUUAAGUACCCCGCCUGGGGAGUACGGCCGCAAGGCUAAAACUCAAAGAAAUUGACGGGGGCCCGCACAAGCGGCGGAGCAUGUGGAUUAAUUCGAUGCAACGCGAAGAACCUUACCUGGGUUUGACAUGCACAGGACGCCGGCAGAGAUGUCGGUUCCCUUGUGGCCUGUGUGCAGGUGGUGCAUGGCUGUCGUCAGCUCGUGUCGUGAGAUGUUGGGUUAAGUCCCGCAACGAGCGCAACCCUUGUCCUAUGUUGCCAGCGGGUUAUGCCGGGG
rnacentral:rRNA from 1 species